rnacentral:lncRNA from 1 species
AGUUACUAGAUCAGAGGCAACUGACCAGUGUGUAUGCCAUUGAAGGACACCCCUCCUUCCCAAAUAGUAACUGCCAAGGGACGGAGUCCAGUCAAAUUUUCUUUAACUCUUUUUAUUAAAGAAGAUGCUGGGUGUGGGGCUGCCAAGAUACCUCAGUAGAGAAAGGCUGUUGCUGCCAAGCCUCAGAUUAAUCCUCAUAACCCAUAUGUUGGAAAAAGCCAAUACCUGCAAGCUGUUUGUUCUUGACCUUCACAAGGUAUGCUGUGGUGGCAUAUAUGCUUACACGCCGUUAUGAAAUAUAAUGUGGCAAGGGAGUAUUUUUGGAGGGCCUGGCCAAGGUGUACCCCUGAGAAGUUACACCAUAAAACAGACCUAGUGUAAAGGUUUAUUGGGGGGAACGCAAGAGUACUGUGGGACUUGGUGAAGGGACAGAGGCAGACAAGUGGACAGAUAGACAGGCAGACAGAUGGGGGGCAGAAUCAUGAGGGCAGAGAGAGGGGACAGAGAAGGAGAGGGAACAUUGGUGGUGGAGAUCAGAGAGAGAGAGCUGGGGUGGCAGGUGGGUCCUUACAUCUACUGGUACAUCUGGCUGCCGUAGGUCAUGAUGUAAGCACUGGCUGGGUCCCUGAAAGCAGGCCAAUGGAAUUGCCUGUAUAAAACACACACACACACACACACACACACACUCUAAAAGAAAAAAAAAUAGCUGGGUAGUGCUGUUCAUUUUUAACCUUACCUACCUACUCAAGAGGCACUGAGGCAGGAGGAUGGCAAGUUCAUAGGCCACCCUGGACAGCAGAAUGAGUUUAGGGUAGAGAGACUGUCUCAAAAUGAAAAACAAGGGUUGGGGAAUGGCUCAGUGGGUAAGAGAGCUUUCUGGGCAAACAAUAAAGACCUGAAUUUAAGUUCCCAAAACUUAACAAAAAAAAGGCUGAGUAAUUGGCCUGGAGAGAUUAUUCAGCGGUUAAACUUAUCAUUAAAAGCUGAGUAUGUGGCCUGAAGAGAUGUUAAAAGCACUGGCUGCUCUUCCAGAGGACCCUGUUUCAAUCUCCAGACCCCAUCACAUCUGUGAUCCACAGACCUGUGCAUGCAUGAACUCAGUUUUAAAGGUCCAAAUCUAGAAUAUUGGUGCCUAGCAUCCAAGUGCCAGCCAACUAUCACUGCCUCCACACCCAUCCCCCAUCCCCAGGCCCCUGGAAAGUGGUAGUCAUCCAAAGAGAUCUACAAAGGGUUUUGUUUUCAGGUCAUGCAAAAGGUGGGAAACUGAGCCCCGUGUAAGCAGGGCAAGUACUGUUAACUACAGCCCUAGCCACACCACACCUUUAUCUUUCGAUACAGGGUUUCUCGGUGUAGCCCUAGCUGUCCUGGAACUCACUCUGUAGACCAGGCUGCCCUCCAGUUCACAGAUCCACCACCUGCCUCUGCCUCUGUUCUGGGAUUAAUGACUUGAGCACACACUGCUCCCCACCCCCGCCCCAGGCUCAGAUUGGCAUGCUGGAAUUAAAAUGGACUCCUAAAGGGGGAGGGGGUGGGGAGGCACGGGGAGGGAACAUGUCUCCCCGGGGUCAAAGUAGAACUCAGCUCAUCCCUGGGCAGGAUAUUGAGGUGAUGGCCUGGCCUGAGUCACUACCUUUCCACCAGAGGGCGCCCAGGGCUGCGGAGCAGGGCGUGCGUGGGCGGGAGAUUCUCCAGGCCAAAGUGUCUCGGGCGCACCGGGUGUGGGCUGGAUCAGUGUCCUGUGCACUCUCACACUAAUCCCUCCUCCUCCAGGACCCAGUGGUCUCGGGCUACAGGAUCUGCUCUGGUGCAUUCGAUUCGUGUCAGUGCGCGUUGGAAGGUGCUUUGGAGACUAAGGGCAAACUGUACACAAACUGGCACUGGUCCUCGUCCACGCCCAGAACUGGGUUCCCAGGCCCCAAGGCGGAAAGCGGGAGGGAGGGGUGUCCCAAGGGUGGGGAGGGCCCUGAGUAACUUUUCUUCGGAAAAUAUGCAGGACUGGCCCCCAGCCCGAGACUGAGUCAGCGCAGAGUUGAGUCACAAACUGCACCGCCCCUGUGAGCCAGAAUGGUUCCCCAGGCACCUCUUCCUUAGGGGUCCCCGCCCCAAGAUAGCCUGACAGCGACACAAGCAGCAGCUUUGGCUUUAUUGGCCCCGUAGGAGACACUCUUGGGUUUUCAGCCCCUUCUAGCUGUCCUCAACGCCCCCCCCCCCGCCCCAUCUUAUUUUUUUCUCCCACCAGGGUCAGGUACUAAGGAUGCUAAGACAUAAAGUGUGUGAGGCCCCUGUAGAGAGGAGGAGAGGCUAUAGCACCGAGAAUUCCCAAUGCCCCAGGAUAUCCAUGAAAACCUGGGCUUUGGUAAAGCAUCUCCUAUUCCCACCCCAUGGUCUCGGUCUUUGAUAGGGACUUUACUUAAAUAGGACCUGAAGGUGGGCAGAGGGGCCAGAUACUUUGGUUCCCAACCCCACACGCUGGGGAAACCAUGGGCUCUGGGGAAUGGAAACCAUCCCCGAAGGAGCCAGGAAGUUGCGGUUUUUCUAUCUGCUGCACAAUCUUUGUGAAGUGGAUGUGGUCAGAAUUUAGGAUUUGUGGGUAGGAAAGCGAAAGAGAGGUUCAUGAGAGGAGCGAGGAAGCUGAGUGUCUGCUCUGAACCACCAGUGAGCCUGACACCUGAAGACAUAAAAGAGUAGGGAGCCCUAGCAUGGCUGAGUAACAGUAGCUGCUUAACUAUAAAAGGGGGUCUUGCUGGUAUCAGUGUUUGUGUGACUGUGUAGAUGUCACACUCCUGAGAGUCGGUUCCACCAGGGCCCAGCAUACAGUAAGUGCUCAAUAAAUAUCUGGAUGGGGCUGUGGAUGUAGCUCAGUUGCUAGAGUGCUUGCCUAGUAUGCAGGAAGUGCUGGGUACAUACCCCAGGACUGCACAAACCAGGCAUGGUGGUUCAUGCCUGCAACUCCAGCACGCAGAAGUGGAGCCAGGAAGAUGAAGAGUUCAAGGUCAUCCUCAGCUACAUAAGAAGUUCAAGGGUAGCCUAGGUUAUGUGAGACUCUUUCAAAAAAUAAAAGGAAAAAAACAGGUCUUUAUAUGAAUG